AUAGGUGCCCGUACCGCAAACCGACACAGGUAGUCAAGAUGAGAAUUCUAAGGUGAGCGAGCGAACUCUCGUUAAGGAACUCGGCAAAAUGACCCCGUAACUUCGGGAGAAGGGGUGCUCUUUAGGGUUAACGCCCAGAAGAGCCGCAGUGAAUAGGCCCAAGCGACUGUUUAUCAAAAACACAGGUCUCUGCUAAACCGUAAGGUGAUGUAUAGGGGCUGACGCCUGCCCGGUGCUGGAAGGUUAAGAGGAGUGGUUAGCUUCUGCGAAGCUACGAAUCGAAGCCCCAGUAAACGGCGGCCGUAACUAUAACGGUCCUAAGGUAGCGAAAUUCCUUGUCGGGUAAGUUCCGACCCGCACGAAAGGCGUAACGAU
rnacentral:rRNA from 1 species